GAUGAACGCUAGCGGCAGGCUUAACACAUGCAAGUCGAGGGGUAGAGGAAGCUUGCUUCCUUGAGACCGGCGCACGGGUGCGUAACGCGUAUGCAAUCUACCUUGUACAGGGGGAUAGCCCAGAGAAAUUUGGAUUAAUACCCCAUAGCGUAAUUGAAUGGCAUCAUUUAAUUACUAAAGUUCCAACGGUACAAGAUGAGCAUGCGUCCUAUUAGCUAGUUGGUGUGGUAACGGCACACCAAGGCUACGAUAGGUAGGGGUCCUGAGAGGGAGAUCCCCCACACUGGUACUGAGACACGGACCAGACUCCUACGGGUGGCAG
rnacentral:rRNA from 1 species